UGGGGAAUUUUGGACAAUGGGCGAAAGCCUGAUCCAGCAAUGCCGCGUGUGUGAAGAAGGCCUUCGGGUUGUAAAGCACUUUUGUCCGGAAAGAAAUCCUUGGCUCUAAUACAGUCGGGGGAUGACGGUACCGGAAGAAUAAGCACCGGCUAACUACGUGCCAGCAGCCGCGGUAAUACGUAGGGCGCAAGCGUUAAUCGGAAUUACUGGGCGUAAAGCGUGCGCAGGCGGUUUGCUAAGACCGAUGUGAAAUCCCCGGGCUCAACCUGGGAACUGCAUUGGUGACUGGCAGGCUAGAGUAUGGCAGAGGGGGGUAGAAUUCCACGUGUAGCAGUGAAAUGCGUAGAGAUGUGGAGGAAUACCGAUGGCGAAGGCAGCCCCCUGGGCCAAUACUGACGCUCAUGCACGAAAAGCGUGGGGAGCAAAACAGGAUUAGAUACCCUGGUAGUCCACGCCCUAAAACGAUGUCAACUAGUUGUUGGGGAUUCAUUUCCUUAGUAACGUAGCUAACGCGUGAAGUUGACCGCCUGGGGAGUACGGUCGCAAGAUUAAAAACUUAAAUGAAUUGAC
rnacentral:rRNA from 1 species